UGUAAAUAUAGUUUACAAAAAACAUUAGACUGUGAAUCUAACAACAGGAAAUUAACCUCCUUAUUUACCA
rnacentral:tRNA from 1 species